rnacentral:rRNA from 1 species
CCACGCCGUAAACGAUGAUUACUAGGUGUUGGGGACCAAAGGUUUUCAGUGCCGAAGCAAACGCGAUAAGUAAUCCGCCUGGGGAGUACGUUCGCAAGAAUAAAACUCAAAGGAAUUGACGGGGACCCGCACAAGCGGUGGAGCAUGUGGUUUAAUUCGAAGCAACGCGAAGAACCUUACCAAAUCUUGACAUCCUGCUGACAGACUCAUUAAAGGAGUUUUCUUCGGACAGCAGAGACAGGUGGUGCAUGGUUGU